GCAUUGCAGAAUGUAGCUCCAAGCAGCAGCUUCAGGUUGAGUGAUGUUAUCAAUGGUUACAAGAGUAACGGAGAACUCCAGAACCUGGAUUCUGUCUUGGCUUGUAAAAUAUCUUUCAGAUCUACCUUUAAUAUGUUUUUAAGUAGAAAGUACCUUCGUACCACUAUGUUACUAAAUCCCAGAAUCUUUUUUGAAAGGGAGCAAAGGAUUUUGAAACAUUAAAGAUAUGGUGACGAAAUGGAGACAUGCAAAAUUAUAUUCUUCUAUUGACAUUAACUGUAACUCUUCAGUGGUACAUAUAUACUAACAACAUAUUUCAGGCAUUCUAAACAACGGCUGAGGAUCUGUUUGUGAACAUUUCAAAUGUGAGAGAAUUCUUUACUCCUCCUAAUAAAGCCCUAUCUCAUGACUUAUGCAUCAGUUCUCACAGCCUGGCUGCACACAACAGUUUAAUUCCGGAGCGCAGGGAAGCUGAAAUGAGGAAGUUGAAGAGACUGAGAGCUUUCUUGAGAGUGCCUCGAUACUUCUUCCCUGAAGAUCUGUACCCGGAAGACUUCAGAAAUAUAGCUGAUACAGGAGAAAAGGAAGUUGUUUUGUCACCCUUUGGAUGCGAUUUGGUGAGAUUCAGCAGGAACCCAAUCAUAUGACAAAGUAAUAAGUAAUGGGCUCCAGAGAUUGUGUUAAGUAAAGGGCAAAGUAGGGUGGAGUGUCACCAGAGAAAGUGAAGGACAAUGGAACAAUUUGCCAGUGGGUGGUUUUGACUUGCCAAAGUGAGGGAUGGCAGAGACUACUUACGGUGAGCAUAUACAUGGUUGGCCAGAGUGGACUGCAGGCCAGCAGUGGUUGGUAGGGCUGGUAUGGUUUCCUCACCAGAACUGAAGGACUUAAGGUAUUAGAUUGGUUUAAGAUUAAAGUUAGGUAAGCAAAAGAGGUGAGGUGUAGAAAAGGACAAAGGACACAAGGAAAAAGGCAAUGCUAGCAAAAGCGACUAAAGUGAUCAAGG
rnacentral:lncRNA from 1 species